rnacentral:tRNA from 1 species
GGUUCUAUGGAGUAGUGGUCAACUCUAGCGGUUCUGACAAAUUCCCUCAGGAUCCCCUUGAUGUCAAGGGAUGGUUUCGCUUCCGCUCGCCCCCGGUUCGAAUCCGGGUAGGACCU